AAUACCUCUGCCACCAUCUCACAUACAUACGUUUUCUUCCGGUACUAAGUCUUAAAUCAUAUCUCUCUUUUCCUUUAAAUACAUCGGACUAUCGGAGUCUGUUUGUUCAAUAUCUCAAAAUUUUCUUGAACUAUAAUCAUCAAUAUCAUCACCAAAUUCUGUUUUCUUUUCUCAUGGUGGCUAUAUAACCUAUUUUUCGAAGCUUGAAAGAUAUUCUUCUUUCUCCAAGUCAGGCUAGUCCUUAUUGUGUUUGUAAAUUCAAUAUGAGUAAAUAGUAAACCUGAAAGAAAGAGCAAUAGUCAAUAUCUCAAACUUUUCUUACACUAUAAUUAUCAAUAUCAUCACCAAAUUCUGUUUACACUAUAAUUAUAAACUUUUCUUUUCUUAAAAAUGAACUUUUCCUGAAUGCUCUUCUGACAAACUCUUUCUUGCGUCUUUGCUAUAUAGUUGUAUACAAAACAACUAAUGUAGUUAGAAAAUAUUUGAGAUUGAAUCUGAAUGUUUUUAGUUUUCAAAGUUUUAAUACCUGUGAAUAGAAAAAAUGAAGAAGCUAGGCAUUUUGGGUUUCUUAGGGUCACAAGACAGUAUUUUACCUUGGAGGAACUGCAAGCCAUUUUACAUUUGACCUCAUUGAUACUUUUCAGUUCUUCCAUACGCGACAUCCUUGAACUUCAUCCGGACCGCUUAAGUUUGCCUUAUUCC
rnacentral:lncRNA from 1 species